rnacentral:rRNA from 1 species
GGCGUGCUUAACACAUGCAAGUCGAACGGAAAGGCCCUGCUUUUGUGGGGUGCUCGAGUGGCGAACGGGUGAGUAACACGUGAGUAACCUGCCCUUGACUUUGGGAUAACUUCAGGAAACUGGGGCUAAUACCGGAUAGGAGCUCCUGCUGCAUGGUGGGGGUUGGAAAGUUUCGGCGGUUGGGGAUGGACUCGCGGCUUAUCAGCUUGUUGGUGGGGUAGUGGCUUACCAAGGCUUUGACGGGUAGCCGGCCUGAGAGGGUGACCGGCCACAUUGGGACUGAGAUACGGCCCAGACUCCUACGGGAGGCAGCAGUGGGGAAUAUUGCACAAUGGGCGGAAGCCUGAUGCAGCAACGCCGCGUGCGGGAUGACGGCCUUCGGGUUGUAAACCGCUUUCGCCUGUGACGAAGCGUGAGUGACGGUAAUGGGUAAAGAAGCACCGGCUAACUACGUGCCAGCAGCCGCGGUGAUACGUAGGGUGCGAGCGUUGUCCGGAUUUAUUGGGCGUAAAGGGCUCGUAGGUGGUUGAUCGCGUCGGAAGUGUAAUCUUGGGGCUUAACCCUGAGCGUGCUUUCGAUACGGGUUGACUUGAGGAAGGUAGGGGAGAAUGGAAUUCCUGGUGGAGCGGUGGAAUGCGCAGAUAUCAGGAGGAACACCAGUGGCGAAGGCGGUUCUCUGGGCCUUUCCUGACGCUGAGGAGCGAAAGCGUGGGGAGCGAACAGGCUUAGAUACCCUGGUAGUCCACGCUGUAAACGGUGGGUACUAGGUGUGGGGUCCAUUCCACGGGUUCCGUGCCGUAGCUAACGCUUUAAGUACCCCGCCUGGGGAGUACGGCCGCAAGGCUAAAACUCAAAGGAAUUGACGGGGCCCCGCACAAGCGGCGGAGCAUGCGGAUUAAUUCGAUGCAACGCGUAGAACCUUACCUGGGUUUGACAUGGAUCGGGAGUGCUCAGAGAUGGGUGUGCCUCUUUUGGGGUCGGUUCACAGGUGGUGCAUGGCUGUCGUCAGCUCGUGUCGUGAGAUGUUGGGUUAAGUCCCGCAACGAGCGCAACCCUUGUUCACUGUUGCCAGCACGUUAUGGUGGGGACUCAGUGGAGACCGCCGGGGUCAACUCGGAGGAAGGUGGGGAUGACGUCAAGUCAUCAUGCCCCUUAUGUCCAGGGCUUCACGCAUGCUACAAUGGCUGGUACAGAGAGUGGCGAGCCUGUGAGGGUGAGCGAAUCUCGGAAAGCCGGUCUCAGUUCGGAUUGGGGUCUGCAACUCGACCUCAUGAAGUCGGAGUCGCUAGUAAUCGCAGAUCAGCAACGCUGCGGUGAAUACGUUCCCGGGGCUUGUACACACCGCCCGUCAAGUCAUGAAAGUUGGUAACACCCGAAGCCGGUGGCCUAACCGUUGUGGGGGAGCCGUCGAAGGUGGGACUGGUGAUU